rfam:Eurypyga helias contig51632, whole genome shotgun sequence.
GAGUGAUGAUGUUCUAAACCUAUUCCAUUUCUGAAAUACUCUGUGGAAGAAGAAAUAACUGAACUC